rnacentral:lncRNA from 1 species
GAGAGCAAGAACAGCCCGCAGGUCCCGAGGCGCUUGCAGGGGACUCUGCCGCGGAAAGUUCCCAGUCCCCAGCCGCAGUGAAGUCCUUCUACCUAGUUCCCCUUCCUUGUGCACAGAAGAGGACUGGAAAACUCCUCACAGGACUGCAUACUGCUAUCUCUGAGAAACCAGAAAGAAGAAAGUACCUCUUCCUUCCAAGCUUCUACCUAAGAGUAUACUGGAAGGUUUACCUAGAGCAACAAGACAACGAAAUGGAUUGUCCUUCUCACGCUAGUCCACACACAAUCCUCAUCAUUUUGAUAAGAUAGCAUGAAGUCUCUUAUCGCUUGUGGAUCCAGCACUUUGGUUCAGGUUCAUCUGCCCAUAAUUCUCUAAGAUUUGGAGCUGUUGAGGAGUGGCUCAUAGUAGACACUGAACCAUCAGCCAACAGCAUUUGUUGUCCUGGAUGUCUGUGCCAACCUUUCGAGUCACACUGGGGUCUAAAGACACACCUGGAAUAAAAAUCAGAAUGCUUAAGAAACUUAAUAUGAUCUGCGGGAGAAUACAUGAGGUUUUUGUUUCAUACCACAGUCUGAUGACAGCAUGGAUUUCAACUGAUGAUGUUCACCUUUGCCUCUUGGGUCAAUAUGUGAGCUCAGAGAUUUCCCUGCUUUUGUUCUGUCAUUAUGGAUUCUAAACUUCUGAAACUACAUACUCAAUUAAAUGUUUUCUUUUAUAAAUUA